UACGAAGGGGGCUAGCGUUGCUCGGAAUCACUGGGCGUAAAGCGCACGUAGGCGGAUUGCUAAGUCAGGGGUGAAAUCCUGGAGCUCAACUCCAGAACUGCCUUUGAUACUGGUGAGCUUGAGUCCGGAAGAGGUGAGUGGAACUGCGAGUGUAGAGGUGAAAUUCGUAGAUAUUCGCAAGAACACCAGUGGCGAAGGCGGCUCACUGGCCCGAUACUGACGCUGAGGCACGAAAGCGUGGGGAGCAAACAGG
rnacentral:rRNA from 1 species